ACACUGCUUACACGCAAUUGACUUUCUGGGAUUAAGUUUCAGGUCUUACAAAGGUUUCUUGUCCAGGAAGAAAUAAAGAUUAUGGUUCGUCUCAAUUCCGAUAACACCAACGAUAGGAGCAUGUGAACUCCCAUGAGUUUGACACCUUUCUUGUCAUUCCGUGCCUCCCAGUGUUUGAACAACGCACAGCUUUCAAGUCAUCAUUCAUUGACAGAUUGAUCUUGACUGGGUGAGGAAAUUCAUCGCAGAUUUGGAGCAAAUUUAUAGCCGGAGGUUUUAGCGGUUACCUUCGACUGCGAUGAUGGCGAUUAGAUGCAUAAGAAAGUGGUAGUAGUGGGAUGAACCACAUACAUGUUUGAUUUAAUACGCCAGAGGAAUGCAAACGGUAGCGGUUACACAGCAUUGCCGGAGGCGUCAAGACUUUAGGAGCUACGUCGUCUCUCCUAAGAAGGUGGGCCACCGAGCUGGACAAAACCUAAGUUAUUAUGUAUGAAAAAUAAAGUUGGGCCUUAUAAAUCAAGCAGAAUCCAAAACAAUUGGCUCAUAAACAGAAACGAACAUUACGAAAGCUUUUUUAAGAAGUGGACACGUGUUCAAUUUUGGAAUAGCCUCUGCUGAGGUGG
rnacentral:lncRNA from 1 species